UACAGAGGUCCCAAGCGUUGUUCGGAUUCAUUGGGCGUAAAGGGUGUGUAGGUGGCGCCGUAAGUCGGGUGUGAAAUCUCGGGGCUUAACUCCGAAACUGCAUUCGAUACUGCGGUGCUUGAGGACUGGAGAGGAGACUGGAAUUCAUGGUGUAGCAGUGAAAUGCGUAGAGAUCAUGAGGAAGACCAGUGGCGAAGGCGGGUAGCUGGGCCGACACUGACGCUGAGGCGCGAAAGCCAGGGGAGCGAACGGG
rnacentral:rRNA from 1 species